rnacentral:rRNA from 1 species
GACCUCAGUUCAGGUGAGAUUACCGGCUGAAUUUAAGCAUAUUACUAAGCCGAGGAAAAGAAACUAACAAGGAUUCCCCUAGUAGCAGCGAGCGAACAGGGAAGAGCCCAGCGCUGAAUCCCACGGGCCUCGCUCGGCGGGAAAUGUAGCGUUUGGGAGGGCCCGUCAACACGGCGACUCGCUCACUGGUUCAAGUCCAACUUGAAUGGGGCCACACAGAGGGUGACAGGCCCGUAGAGCAGGAGCGGUUGUCGUGUGGGUCUCUCCUUAGAGUCGGUUUGCUUGAGAGUGCAGACUUAAGUGGGUGGUAAACUCCAUCUAAGGCUAAAUAUGACCACGAGACCGAUAGCACACAAGUACCGUGAGGGAAAGGUGAAAAGAACUUUGAAGAGAGAGUUCAAGAGUACGUGAAACUGAAGUGGUGUAAACGGACGAGUUCGAAAAGUCCGAAUGGUGAGAUUCAAGCUUACCGUGCCGGUGGCCCUCGGGUUCAGAUGGCGUCGUCAGCUCGGGCUUCGGUUCGGGUCAUACGGCGUCACUCGUCCUGGGGGUAUCUGUCUGGUGCGGUGGGCUGCACUUCUCGCCUAGUAGGACGUCGCGACCCGUUGGGAUGUUCCGUUCACUGGCCCCUGGUGGAGCCCGCGCCGGAGCGUGGCCUUGUGCCGCGUUGCUGUUUGCACGGACCCGGGGUGACCUGAUCGGCGCCCGACGGUAUCAAAGCUUGGGAAGAGGCCGCACAGAGGAUGCGUUCGAUGGCCGUUUCGGCCUACACUCGGACAGGCCUGCACCCGGUCAGCGGCGCUUCUGCUUUCGAUA